rnacentral:misc_RNA from 1 species
AACGCACGAGACCUGCGGACCUGCGGAAGGAUCAUUACCGAGUUAUCCAACUCCCAACCCCUGUGAAUUAUACCUUUAAUUGUUGCUUCGGCGGGACUUCGCGCCCGCCGGGGACCCGAACCUUCUGAAUUUUUAAUAAGUAUCUUCUGAGUGGUUAAAAAAAAAUGAAUCAAAACUUUUAGCAAUGGAUCUCU